GAGAAUUAUUAUCCUACUAUGGGAUGGGUUGGCAUUACACUUUCCAUUGCGAUGAGGGAUUGUUAUCUUACCAGGUUUAAUAUGAAUAUUAUAGACUGCCUAGAAAUGCACAUGAUGGCAUGACGCUCCACCAUACUGAAUUCCUGCCUCUGGCAGAAAUCCUAAGGACAUGUUCUUCAUAAUAGACAGCACAGAUUCCCAUGUUAAAAAAGUUAGAAAUUCACAAAAAGUUAUUAGGUUACUGAUUAAUUUUGGCCUUGCAGUAUAGAACCAGAGGACUCAAUGUCAUGCAAGGGCCUAUGACUGCUAGUGAUUUCAGCUCUGUUAAAAGACUUUGUCUUUUAAAGGAUAUCUGACAAAGGGAAACAAGGAAAUUACAGAGCAGUUGGCCCAACAUCUGUAAUGGGGAAAUUAUUGAAGAUUAUAAUCAAGGAUAGGUUAGCUGAUCACUUGGAAAAAAAAUCAGGGCAGAGUCAACAUCGAUUCAUGAAAGGUCGUAGAUCUGCGCUUUGGAACUGAGGAAGCGACAAUGGGGUCAAUGACUUCUAAACAUAAGAAAGACGGGCCAGUCCCAGGGCCAAGGAAACCAUGUCCUGCUGAGAAGGAUGGCCUAUGCCCAUUUGUCCCCACGAAGAAAAAGCAGAAGUGCCACGACACUGCUGGACUCACUGAAUGUUUCUUGCACUUUGUUUACAGUCUGAAUUCUCCUCAACCCAAGAGUGCAAUGGUCCAUUAUACAGCCACCUUCAAAUUUUAGUUAUUACCUUAUGCAUAAAGAACAAGGUGCGUUCACAUCAAUUGCCUAAAAGCCAAAGAGAAUCAGAGCUGCUUACCCUCACUUUGCUGAUUGGAUGGCGAAGGCACUUAUUGGCUCCAGUUUCCCUGAGUGUUAUGGAAUAAAA